UACGUAGGCAGCAAGCGUUGUUCGGAGUUACUGGGCGUAAAGCGUGCGUAGGCGGUGCCUCAAGUUUGGUGUGAAAUCUCCCGGCUCAACCGGGAGGGUGCGCCGAAAACUGAGGUGCUCGAGUGUGGGAGAGGUAAGCGGAAUUCCUGGUGUAGCGGUGAAAUGCGUAGAUAUCAGGAGGAACACCAGUGGCGAAGGCGGCUUUCUGGGUUACUACUGACGCUGAGGAGCGAAAGCGUGGGGAGCGAACGGG
rnacentral:rRNA from 1 species